GCCAGUGUGGCGUAAUGGUUUGAGUGCUGGACUACAGCUCUGGAGACCAGGGGUUCGAUUUCCAGCUGAGCCA